ACUUGAAUUGCAAAUAUCUCGCGCCUACACAAUGCUGCAACGAACCACGGAUCAAAAUGAAACAACACACAAAUUAGAAGGCCAAAUUUUAAAACAUAAGGUAGGCAAAUUGGGCGCAAAUUGAAUGUUGUGCGCAAGGGAAAGGACCCGCCAAGAAAAUUCCCCACUUUUGAGUGAUAAUGUGCAGAUUGGGCCUGCCAAAUGAGUUGACACGCGGGCCUUUAUUUAUGCAAACAUCACUACUUUGUUAAAAGGUUAUUUAAAACCUUUCUUUCCCCAUUUUCCAUCUCAAACGCAGCCCCAUUUUUAAGCCAAAAAUCACAGCCUUGGAAGCAAAUUUCUAGGGUUUCUUUCGCUAGCAGCCGAACCACCAUUGUUUUGGUGAUCAACAGCAUGCAGACAGUAUCCAUCUUCCUCGUUGAAGGCGUUCGACCAUGCCUAGAGAAAUUUGGUACAAAGUUUGUUGGCAUGCGUACGGGGUGCAGGCGUGGCGUACGAGGGCUGUAGAGGUAUGGGACUGCUGUAGUGGAGGUAUGAGGCUGUUUCUUGGUUGUGGCGCAAAACGAAAAGAGGGGGAAACCUAUGUUAAGGGAAUGGGCCUAUUGGGCUUGUUUCGAUUUGGGCUCAUGAUGGGUAUCGGGUUAGGGUUAAUGUAUUUGGGCUGCUUUGUACCAAAGACCUGGACUGUGGUAUACAUAUUUUUUUUGUGA